rnacentral:lncRNA from 1 species
CUAUUGUGUGUCUAGUGUGAUUCACAUGGGAUUAUAGACAAAUGUCAUUUGCCACUCUUCCAUCUCGAUUGUGAAUUUGGUAUCUCAAUUAUAUGUGAAUCAGACGAGAAACGUGUAUAUAAUUUGUAUCUAGUAUGAUUCAUGUAUCAAGAAUAUAUAAGAGAAUCUCGCUUGCCUCUCUCCCUAUUUCAGUGUAUAUGGUAGCAAGAAAUAUGUAUUUAGGUGUAUUUGACUUGAAAUUUGGUAUGCAAUUAUGCAAUUAGGUAGUUUUUUCUUUUAAAAAUUCAAAUUACUUAUCCAAAUAAUUUUUCAAUUUCAAAUCACCAGACCUUCGCAUAAAUUUUUGUGUGUGUGUCGUGGGUUAAAAUUUAAUUAUUUUUUUAGGGAGGCAGAACAAACCUAACUUAUUUUACUUGCUUAAAUUUGAGCGGGAUUAUUGACCCGCUCAUGUAUUAACUCAAUCCAUUAAAUAUUGAAUUGAUAUAUAGCCCAAAUUAUUUAAUGACGAAUCUUGUCAAAAUAAUUUUAAAUAAAUACUAUUUUAUUAUUUGAUAUAUUAUAUAUAGCUAUAAUAAUAUUUUUUAUUAAAGACUAAAAAAUUAUAAAAGAGCAAGUAAAACAAUUAAGACUUAGUAAAAUUGAGAGGAUUGAAUUAUAACCCACGUUUUAACUUAAAUAACUUGUGAAUGACUCAAUAAAUCACUCAUUUAUCCAACACACUCAUUUAACACCUCUAAUUUUUUUCAAUUUUGCGCCAAAACAAACGCGGCAAACAAAAUUUCCAUGUAAUUAUUUUCCCCAAAUGCACAUCACUGCUAAUUUAGUUCCCACUACAAUUAGGUUUUACUUUUUUCUUUUGAUUUGAUGCCUCUUUUAUGUUUUACCCAAAAUCUAGUGAGUUCUUGCUUCCAAUUUUACUUCUACAAAUGUCUAGUACUUCACAUUUCCAAUUAAGUUAAAUUAUGUUUUUCCUAAUUUGCAGCUUUUUCACCGAUUCUUUUUUUGUUUCUUUUCUUCUUUUGAUACAAGAUCCAAAGCUUUUGGACUAGAAAAUGGUAUGAUUUUGUUUGGGGAUGCUAUGGUUAUUUGGAGAAGCACAAAGCUAAAGUAGAUAUAUUCUUAGAUAUGCAGUCUUAAUUGGGAGUAACGACGAAGAUGUAAUCAAACGGAGACCCGCACAACAGACAAAGAAGGAGGUGAAUAUAAAUCAUAGAUCCACUAAAUUCUCUGUGUUUAUAGAUUUUCUUGUGUUUUUCUGUUUCCUCCGCUACAUUCUCUACAAAUUGGUCAAAAAUUGAUUUUUGACUUUGUUUCAUUUGCUAUGCUUUUUGUUCUUCUCUGUUCUUUCACGCUACAUUUGAGCUUGAAAAUACGAGGCUUAUAUUCCAUUGAGUUCUACGUAAAUUGAGCUUUAGAUAAGCUUCCGUUUUGUGUGUGUAAGGGUGGCCGGUUGGUGGUAAUGACUGUUGGAAUCCGAAAUUACGGGAGGCUGAUGAUGCUUGAAGCUUUUGAUUAGAUAAAAGGCUCAAUCUUAUUUGUUCAUAAGUUUAUUUUUAAUUUUUAAUGAAUUUCUUGCUAAAAUUUACUUGAGAAACCUAAGAUAUGGUACGGCAUAUUGGUCUUACAAUUGAUUUGAGAAUGUGGAUCCUUUCAAAAGAAAUCAUAAACCAUAUGACGAAUGGAUUUUAUGUUGAUGUUUUAUUGUCUAUCUCCAACAACAACAUACCUAAUGUAGUUUCACAACUGGUAUUUGGGCAGAGUAGCAUGUAUGUAGACCUUAUUCUUACCGGGGCUAAAGUGAUUGUUUUCGAUAGACUCUCAACUCAAAAGUGAAGUUUUUGAAGUAAUCUCAAAGAGUAAUGCCACGAGCAAUAUGCUGUCAAAAAAAAGAAAUUAAUUUGAAAACGAAGAAGCUAUCAACUGCACAAAUAUAGAUGCCUCACUAGCUAGGCUGUAUCAACUACAUGAUUUCAUCUUUAACUUCAGAUAUUGAUCCUUAUUUAAGAAAAACUUACAUGUUUAAGGCUUUAAAGUUCUUUGCUAUUCCAAGAUACUAUUUAAAAUUAUAUAUUUCUUGCAUCCAUUUAUGGUUGAGAGAAUCCUAAUGUGAGAUGAUGAAUACUUGAAAACAAGGAAAUUAAGUUAAUGAAUAGUUAGUACAUUACUAUUAAGUAUUAUGAACAACUUAACAUAUAGGAAAAAUGCAAAAUCGGGAGUUCCUUUAGUUUUCGAUCAGAUAAUUUUAGUUUUCAAAGUAAAAUAGUAAAUAUUUUUUAAUAUGCAUGUGUAAUAAUAGCCUAUCAUACUUACAAUUGACCAAUGUGUGUGGUACUAAUAGUGCUACACAUGUUGAUCGUUUUUCCUCUUUUGCUUUUACUCAAUAUCUUGUUUCAACUUUCACUUAAAGUAAUGUUAAGAGUGUCGAUAUUUUGUAUAUUGCAUUUUAUAACCCUGACUACAAAAUGUAAUAAUUUCCUUUAGGUACAUUCUUAUAAUCAUACCGUCAGUGGAUCAUAUCCUUUGUUUGGGUUUUGCACGUUCACUACAUGGUGGCACCUUCAAGGUCAUUUAUCUCUAUGUAUCUCUUUCUCUUUACUCAAGUAAGUCAUCUUAUUAAAUGAUGGUUUGGUCUAUUUUUUUCUUAAUUCUGGAUAGGAAAUUUUUUUAGUAUUAGGGAAGUCUAGUAGCUCAUAAAACUAUCAUUUUCUUUUUAAAUAAGAGACUCUUUUUGGGACAAACAAAAAAGGAAAGUAAGACGUGUAAUAGUAACCAAUGAAGUACCAUUCUGAUGAGGAAAAUACUGGAAAGUUCAAAGUGCUCAAAAGUUCAAUCAACUUUCUAGUUUUUAUUUUUUCUUCUCUUUUAUAUUUCUAUUUACUGCUUAAUUUGAUUAUGAUUUUCAUACUUAGUAGGCGAAAGGUUUCGUGUAUUUUCUACUUGUUUAGUAAAUGGUAAUACUCCUAUACAACAACUCUUAUGCUUGCUUUAGCUGAUAUGAUAUAUAAUAUUAGGAUCAUAGUUUAGUGAAUCAUAAGUCUAGAUAUGAUUGACAUUAAUUAAUAUAUUUGUUGAUUUUUUUUCACAUGCCAACCAUGUGUAUAUGCUUGGAAAUCUAAGACUUGGAUAUGCAAAAAAAUAUUACUGUUAGAGUUCUUAGUGAUAAAAUAUCACAUGUUUAAACUUGGUUGUUACUUUAAUUUGAGAUAUCUUUUUAUCCAUGAUAAUAUUCAAUACUCUCUUUAUCAUAUUCUUUGGGGUUCAUUCAUUAGACAAUUGUUAUUGUUAAAGUUGAUAUUACUCCAUAGAGUUGUCUUGGAGAUGUCUUACUUUGUGAAGGUAAAUCCAAUUAGUACAUUACCAGAUGAUGUGGUUUAGUCAGCAUCUUAAGGACAAUAACAGAUCAAAUUGAAUGUCUAUCUUUUUUUUUGGUUAAAAUGGUUUGGCUCAAGGCCAAUUUAUUCAAAACAAAUUAUAUACAAGCUAUAGCUAAAAGCCCGGCCAAGAACAUAUCAGGACUAUCUUAACAGAAAAUAAGCAAAAGGAAAAAAAAGAUAAAAUACAACAAAUGAAAAAACUAAAGAAGUAACUAAAAGGAAAGUGAAAAGACCAUGGAUGAACUCUCUGUAACAUUCGACCCCAGAGAUUCGCCCGUAAACUUGGACCUUGAGCUCAUCUAAAUUGUUGCUGCUCUGUUGGAAAUCAACCAGAUUGACCUCUGAAGGUACGAGUUGAGGGAGGUAAGUAGCAUUCUUGGAGCCUAAUCAAUUUCUUACGGGAUAAAAUCGGUUUUUCUUCAGCUCCUGCUUAUUGAUGACAUUUCUAUCUCAAGUUUUGGGUGAUGCCACUAUGAGACACCUACAAUAUUUCACCAGGAGAAGUGACAUCUUACCCAAAAGAAUCUUUUCUCAAACUUGAAGAGAAGUGAUUUAAGAUGAAACUGAAGUUUAAGAUGACUGAUAGUCCUUAACUAUUGAUGUAGGUUGUAUUAGGAGUGACUCAUUUGUGAUUUUCAUUGUUUUUCUUCUAGCAGAAUGAACCUCCAAGGAGAUUGAUACCACAUACUAGAACAAUCACAAUAGAAGCCACAAACAAACUCUCCAAAUGGAAUUACGGUAAAAUCAUAUAUUUGUACUUCUUGCUGUGUUUUUGGGAAUGCUUUACUGUUUGGACCUGUGGCUUACUGAAUUGUUGUUAAUCAGUCUUAGACCUUGUGUUGGAAAUAGCAAUUUAAUUUGGUUCCCUUUGUCUUAUCGCCUUGAAUCGUGUACUUGGAUUUUGUUGUUUAUGUGUGUUAAUUAAUUAUCUUUUUAGCUUCUGAUGGGAGUUCCUGAAAAUUAUUGUAUUGAAUAGUACAAUAAAACACCCCCACCCCCGCUCCUCCUUUGUCCCUACAUUUAUUUCUCUUCUCAUUUAUGUUCCAAUUUUGUAAGAUCUACCAAUUUUCUCUUCAUUUGUGCAUAUUUUCUUCGGAUCUCAGUUCCAAAAUGCGUGAAAUCCUUCUUAUUUAAGGUGGACAAUGUGGUAACCAAAUUGGUGCCAAGUUCUGGGAAGUUUUUUGUGCCAAACACGACAUUGAUUCUACCGGUCGUUACAGUGGUGAUUUUGAUCUCCACUUGAGAGAAUUAAUGUGUAUUACAAUGAGGUUACCAAUGGAAGAUUUGUUCCUAGGGAUGUUCUUAUGGAUUUGGAGCCUCGCACCAUGGACAAUAUUAGAUCUGGUCCUUAUGGACAAAUCUUCCAUCCUGAUAACUUUGUUUUUGGACAAUCUGGUGUUGGUAACAAUUGGGCUAAGGUAAGUUACACCGAAGGUGCUAAAUUUAUUGAUGUCGUUCUCGAUCUUGUUCGUAAGGAAGCCUAAAACUUUGACUGCCUUCAAGGUUUGUGUUUCUACCCGUAUUUUCUUAAACAUUUUGUUUUCAUUUGGUGUUGUUGUUGUAGAUCUGUGCAUUUUGAGGAUUUAUUUACAUUCUAUGUGUUUGAUUUUAAGGGUUUCAAUUGUGCCAUUCAUUGGGUGGAGGAACAAGUUCUUGUAUGGGAACACUUUUGAUCUUAAAGAUCAGAGAAGAAUACCCGGACAGAAUGAUGCUUACCUUCUCCAUUUUCCCUUCACCUAAUGUUUCUGACAUUGUUGUUGAGCCUUAUAAUGCUACCUUGUCCUUGCAUCAACUGGUUGAAAAUGCCAAUGAGUGCAUUGUUCUUGGUAAUGAGGUUCUAUAUUACAUCUUCUUCAGAACCCUAAAGCUCAUCACCCUAAGUUGCAAGUCAUUUCAGCAUCUCGAUUGCGCUUUUCUUUGCGUUAUCUGUUUGAUUGUUGUUAGCUGAGCAUGUUUGAUAUUUCUUGUUAGUUUUUUAUUUAGCACUUUUGAAGUUAUGAAUCAUCUGAUAUAUUUCUUAUAUAAAAGCUUUGUUUGUUAAAGAAUCGGCUAACUGGUUCCCUUCUCUUAGAACACGUGACACCUAGAAAUCCCCCCUUCUCUUCCACUCUUAGAUCUUCUGAACCUCCAUACUAAUAGCCCAUGGACUGUCCCAAUCUUCAUCAAUCACCUUCUUGAUGAUUAGGGAGCUAGUCUCCAUAAUAAGAGGCAUUAGCUGUUCUUUUAUACAAUAAGCCACUACUUCAUGAAUUGUCAACUCUCCAACACCUAAACUAGUAGUAUUGGCAAUGACCCCUACCAUUUCUAAUGCAGAAUGCUAGAGAGCAAGGCUCAGGGUUCUCUCUAGACGAGCCAUCAGUAUUGAACUUAAAUUUUCCUUGGGGAGGAAGAUGUCACUAGACUAAUGUACACCUCGUUGGUUUGUAGAUUUCCAACUUUUGUAUCAUAAGUGGCCAAAUGUUAGAGAUCUUUGUUAUCCAUGGGAACCUCAAUCUAGCCAAGAGAUAGAGGUUCUGAUUUGUGUCAUUAAUAACUCUGUUUCUUGAUAUUGAACCUUCUUGGAAAAUGAUAUUUCUUUUCUUCCAUCGAUGCCAUAUAAUGAUGGCUGGGGCAGCCAGAUAUAGUGGCUUCAGUUAAUUAGGAGAAUAGUCAGCUUUCCACAAUUGUAUUGCAACUUGAUUUAACUAAAUAAAUGGGCCCUUAAGCUGCUGCAGCAAAGUGUGUUCAGAUGCUCUUAGCAUAAUCUCUUGUUAAGAACAAAUGUAGCAUAGUUUCCUUAACACAUCGCCCAAGGAAAAAGACCUUGUGAGACCACUGCUAAAAUCCAUCACACACCAAAAGUCCAAACCAGUUUGAAACAGUUAACAGUACUCAUCGACAAGAAUUAUACAACGCAAGAACAUGAUCUUCUAGCAAGUUUGCUUUGACUAGUGUCUAAGUUUGAAAUCAGAACCCUCCUAACUAGUAUCCUCAAAACCACCAAAGAUUUUAUCAUCCAACUAAAGAUAUGUGAAUCGAAUCACCUGAAGUCAAACUCUGUUGCAACAAGUCCAAAAAGACACUAGUUAUAAAUAAUUUAAGGAUUAUAUGCACAGAUGUUAUCAAACCCCAUAUACUGCCCUUCCUUGAUCUUUCUAAUCGUGCCAUAUAAAGACAAAAUAGCUAUACCAUUCUUGCAUAACACAUCGCCCACUGAUAAUUUUCUCUUUCAUACCAUCCACAAAUAGAAAGAUAAUUUAUACGAUAGACUAGUAACACACAUUUUACUAAAAAUCCAUUGUUGCUCCUCUUUCUUGUUGAAGGAUUAAGAAUGAUAUUUUUCAUUUGUUGAAUUAUGAGUAAUUUUAAGUAGAUUUAUUUAGUGAAUUAAUUAUUAUCAAGAUGUUGGGUCCUAGUCUUGAACUACAUUAAGUAGUUUUGUUGCAGCAAAUGCUUGGUAGGCUUCUAUAUUUUUUUACUUGUAUGGUAGACUUCGUAUAGAAUUAAGGCUUUGAAAGUUGAUAUUUGUUUGAAUUCUUUAGUUGAAUACCUCUGAACUAGUAGUCGUUAUUGGGGCUGACAAAAGAUCUACAAUAAAUAACUGGACGAAAUAGUGUUAAUGUAGUAGGUGAGGUUUUGUUAAUACGAACUCCAACAUGAUGCAUGACUCUUUAUAAAUCUAGGCAAUGCAUGCAACAUUGUCUGUAAUCAUUUUAUUUUGUCCAAUUGUCGGGGAUUAGUUAAAUGGUACAUUAAAUGGUCAUAUGUUAUAAUACUUCACAUGUUAGAUGUUGAGUUAAUACAGUUCUCAAAUAUUAGCAUUUUGAUAAUUCAUGUGUAGUAGGUUGUGCGAGGAUAAUGAUGUGUCCAUUGCUCUCCAAAAUUUAAAAAAAGUUCUUGCCAGGUACAUAGUCUUGCUCACCCAAGAUGACCUUCAUAUUAGUAUGCUUGCAUUUUUAUUUAGUGCUUAUAAAAUUGAUCAUUAAAACAUAUUGAAUACAUAGAUUGUGUUACAGAUUCUAUCUUUUUUACCUCAAUAUGAAAACACUUUAAACUAAAUCACAAUUUUGUUCUCUUUUUUUUUCCCACAGGUAUAAGAGGUGAGAAUUGAAUCAAGACUACUUGAAAGCUAAAUGUCGCUACAUUUUUGGUACUUGGGAAGAAAUCUACACGUAUUUAUCUUAGUUAAGGAGUAAUAUUUAGUAAUCAAGUAUUGGACAUAUUUACUUUUAUUAAGGAGC